rnacentral:rRNA from 1 species
UACGUAGGGUGCAAGCGUUAAUCGGAAUUACUGGGCGUAAAGCGUGCGCAGGCGGUUGUGCAAGACAGAUGUGAAAUCCCCGGGCUCAACCCUGGGAACUGCAUUUGUGACUGUAGAGCUGGAGUGCGGCAGAGGGGGGAUGGAAUUCCGCGUGUAGCAGUGAAAUGCGUAGAUAUGCGGAGGAACACCGAUGGCGAAGGCAAUCCCCUGGACCUGUACUGACGCUCAUGCACGAAAGCGUGGGGAGCAAACAGG